rnacentral:rRNA from 1 species
UACGGAGGAUCCAAGCGUUGUCCGGAUUUAUUGGGUUUAAAGGGUGCGUAGGCGGAAUAAUAAGUCAGUGGUGAAAGCCUGUAGCUCAACUACAGAACUGCCAUUGAAACUGUUAUUCUUGAGUUAGGUCGAGGUGGAUGGAAUGUAUCAUGUAGCGGUGAAAUGCUUAGAUAUGAUACAGAACACCGAUUGCGAAGGCAGUUCACUAGACCUACACUGACGCUGAGGCACGAAAGCAGUGGGGAUCGAACAGGAUUAGAUACCCCCGUAGUCC